rnacentral:rRNA from 1 species
UACGGAGGGUGCAAACGUUGCUCGGAAUCAUUGGGCGUAAAGCGCACGUAGGCGGUCGGCUAUGUCGGAUGUGAAAGCCUCGGGCUUAACCCGAGAAGGGCAUCCGAAACUGGCCGGCUUGAGUACGGAAGAGGGUCUCGGAAUUCCCGGUGUAGAGGUGAAAUUCGUAGAUAUCGGGAGGAACACCAGUGGCGAAGGCGGAGACCUGGGCCGAUACUGACGCUGAGGUGCGAAAGCGUGGGGAGCAAACAG